GACGAACGCUGGCGGCGUGCUUAACACAUGCAAGUCGAACGGGAAGGCCCUGCUUUUGUGGGGUGCUCGAGUGGCGAACGGGUGAGUAACACGUGAGUAACCUGCCCUUGACUUUGGGAUAACUUCAGGAAACUGGGGCGAAUACCGGAUAGGAGCUCCUGCUGCAUGGUGGGGGUUGGAAAGUUUCGGCGGUUGGGGAUGGACUCGCGGCUUAUCAGCUUGUUGGUGGGGUAGUGGCUUACCAAGGCUUUGACGGGUAGCCGGCCUGAGAGGGUGACCGGGCACAUUGGGACUGAGAUACGGCCCAGAGUCCUACGGGAGGCAGCAGUGGGGAAUAUUGCACAAUGGGUGGAAGCCUUAUGCAGCAACGCCGCGUGCGGGAUGACGGCGUUCGGGUUGUAAACCGCUUUCGCCUGUGACGAAGCGUGAGUGACGGUAAUGGGUAGAGAAGCACCGGCUAGCUACGUG
rnacentral:rRNA from 1 species